rnacentral:rRNA from 1 species
UACGAAGGGGGCUAGCGUUGCUCGGAAUCACUGGGCGUAAAGCGCACGUAGGCGGCUUUCUAAGUCAGGGGUGAAAUCCUGGAGCUCAACUCCAGAACUGCCUUUGAUACUGGGGAGCUCGAGUCCGGAAGAGGUGAGUGGAACUCCGAGUGUAGAGGUGAAAUUCGUAGAUAUCGGGAGGAACACCGGUGGCGAAGGCGGCGACCUGGGUUGAUACUGACGCUGAGGCGCGAAAGCGUGGGGAGCAAACAGG